rnacentral:lncRNA from 1 species
UAUCCUCUUUUGUUUUUGAGUUGUUUGUUAUCUGUGCUUUUCUCCUUAGUCAUUCCUUCAGAAAUUACAGGGGACAAUAACAACAAAGCUCAUCAGUUGGCAUUAUUUGCAUGCAGAUUAAAACUGCAGGGCUAUGCUCAUUUACUAGCCUGAGAGAGUCUGAUACAAAAAUUAUAUUCUUAUUCACUCGCUUUUCAUACAGUUUCCUCACUCGUCAUUCUUAUGGAUUUGCCACAUCAUUUGAUAACACUGUCUCCCUCAGAGUUGGUCUGCUCUCUCCCUCCCUUCCUUCUCCCAAUUCCAUACAACCUACAAAUAUCAAACCAAUACAAUAGCUAAGUAAAAUUCUUUGUCAUUAUCUUCAGAGGGUUUCUUUCCAAGUCUGUUAUUGAGAGUGAUUACAGACUCUUUUUCCUAGAUAAAUUCACAUCAUAUAUUUUUAAGAAGUUAAUUCCGAAAUGUGCAUUUGGUUUGAUAAACUCUCAUUGCUUUUUCCAUGAGGAAUUUGCUGAAAUCCUCACAACCUGAACUGUGUGAUUAAACAGUUUGUGCCUGUUCAGGGGCACUUCCUGUUAUGAUGUAACUGGUGAGAAAGGGCAAGUUGCACUCGGAGCUAUGAUGCUUUUUUAGAACAAGUGAGGGCCCUUCUGAAAAGAUUUGAGUCAUGUAAUUGUAGAAAGACAUGCCAAUUUCAUACCUUAGCACUAUCAGGAAGGAGAAGAAAAACCCAAGAUGCUGAAAGAUCAUGAGUGAAGUGGAAUAUCUGUUCAUGUAUAACUUGAGGAAUACACGUCAAAACAGCAGAGAUACCAUUUCUCACUUAUCAGACUGGUAAACACUAAGACCAAAUAUGACUGUGUAUUCUCUUAGCAAAGAUGAAAGCACACACACUUCUGGUCGGAAUGCAAAUCAGCACAACCCUCCAGAGGGAAUUUGACAAUAUCCCACAAGAUUGCAUGUAUAUUUGCCUUUCAUCUCAACAUUUCCACUUUUAGGAAUUUACCCUGAAGUACUUUAACAAUACAAAAAUGCCUGUGCAAAGGUUAAGCAAUGCAGAAUUAUAAGUGCAAAAUACUGGAAGCAACUUGAACACCCAUAUAUAGCAGAAUGAUGGAUUAAACUGUGGUGCAUCCAUAGGAGAAAUACUAUGCAGCCCUAAACAAGAGUUUGGGUGAGUUCUCUGAGCAGAUAGGGAAAUAUUAAUAAGUUAGAACUUUGUUCUAUGAUUCGCUUGUGUUAAGUAAUUGGAACACCACUGAAUUACUCUCCUUUGCCCUCUUUCAUAAUUUAGGUUGAGAAGUCCUAAAACACUGAUGAAGCAUUUUAAAGUGUUCAUUUGAGCUUUUAUUUUUUUUUCAGGAAAAAUAACUCAUUUGUGUAUAAGAAAGUCUUUAGAAAAGAUGACAUUCUAGCGUCAAAACAUGAAGGAUUCCAUUCCAUUCAGACAGCGUCUGUCAUUUUGUUGGUCCUGGCAAAUGACUCAGUUCACCACAUUAAUCCUCAAACUUGCUCAGGGCCCAAAGGAUGCAUUAGUGUUAUGAUAUGACCAACCAAUUCAGCAAGACUGCUUCUCUGUGCACAUAAGCGGUUCAUUCUCCUGGAAAACAGGGAAGUAAAGACUCUCGAGCAGGAGGGCAGUAGAGAUAGAACCUGUUCAAAGAAAAAUACUAGACUUUCCACAUGUGGACCUUAGAACCCUGAAAAGAAGAAUAAUUAUGUUCUGCUUUUACUAUGUGACUGAGAUAGAUCUCCUGAUUGAAAAGACUUAAACUUUCAUAACUUCCUAGUUCUGAGCUUUAAAUAGCAGAGACUUCUGCAUUCAAAGUGUGCUAGUAAGCAGCCGUGAAAUAAGACCUUCAAAGAUUUGGAGCCAGCACUGUUAUUUCAGCUCAUUGAAUUUUACUCCUCUUUUAUUUUGUUUUUGAAUUUCCUUCAUAAACCAGGAAAGAAACCACAGAGGUUGUCUCCUUGAAUUCAUGUGUCUAUUUGUAGUCCCCAAAGCCAGCCCCAAGACAAUGUUCAAAUGAGUUCUGGAGUUGUUAGUUACAUACACUGUGACCAUAACCUUAGAUUGCUCGGAUUCAGAUUCUGCAUGGUUUGCAUAAAGACAAAUUGUAAAUGUACUGAAAGUAACGAAAGGAUGGAGGAAAGAAGAAAGUGGGUCAACUUGUUGAAUUGAAUGGUACUGGGUUGCAUGAUGUCACCCCCCCAAAAGUUUCUCCAUCUGGAACCUCAGAACCUGCCCUAAUUUGGAAAUAAGUUCUUGGCAGAUGUAAUCGGUGAAGGAUCUCAAAAUGAAACCAUCCUCCAUUCAUUCACAGUGGCCCUAGAUCCUUUGAUAAAAGGAAGUGAGGACAGAGAUACAAACAGAAGGAGGAGAGGGCCCUGGAGAUGGAGGCAGAGACUGGAACUCCCGGUCACAAGCCAAGGACACGGGAGAACAGAAGCCAGCGAAGCAUGGAGCGAUCCUCCCUGGAAACUUCAGGGGUUAACCAGCCCGGCUGACACCUGGAUUUUGGACUUCUGACCUCCAGAACUGUGACCUCCAUUCUUCUAGCCACCGAAUUUCUGUUUUUGCAGCUCUGGGAAAUGAAUGCAGUUAGAAAACCAACUCAAUGAAAUUUCAAACCCAAAGCUAAGGAGCUGAUGAAAGGUCUCUACCUAGAAACCUCUGCCUCCAGGGACUGAGUUAUCCAGAGAUGCAGGUAAAACAAAGGGGUCUGAAAAAGGGUUUUCUGUUUCACCAGCAAAACAGGAAGAGGAGGGGAAUGAAAACAGAAUAGAGAAACCAGAUGAUGACACAAGGAAAAGAAGGUCCUAUUUGAGAAAAAGGAUGAUGCAUAAGCAAACAGCUGGGAAGAUACAGAAAAAUCUAGAUUCUAAGGCAAGACUUGGAUGGAUGGUGGCAGAGGGAAAAUGACUCCGCUGGGGUCUGCUUUCUCUUGGUGAAACAGCAGAGAGGAGCAUGUGCUGUAGUGGCCACGCAGAGUGGUGGGAACCAAGAAGGAUUUGUUUGUUUGUUUGUUUUUUGUAAUUAGAUUGAUUUACAAUGUUGUGUUAGUUUCAAGUGUUCAGCUCAGCAAUUCAGUUACACAUAUACCUAUAUCCAUUCUUUUCAGAUUCUUUUCCCCUUGUCAGUUAUUACAAAAUACUGAGUAGAGUUCCCUGUCCUAUAAGUAGAUCCUUGAUGCUUACCUAUUUCAUACAUAAUAGGGUGUGUAUAUUAAUCCCAAGCUCCUAAUUUAUCGCUUCCCCACUUCCUCCAUUGGUAAGCAUAAAUUUGCUUUCAAAGUCUGCGAGUCUGUUUCUGUUUUGUAAAUAAGUUCAUUUGUACCAUUUAAAAAAAUUUUUUUGGUCUUUGUGUCCUUUUAGGGCUGCAUCCGAGGUGUAUGGAGGUUCCCAGGCUAGGGGUUGAAUCAGAGCUACAGUUGCCUGCCAACACCACAGCCACAGCACCUUGGGAGCCAGGCCACGUCUGAGACCUACACCACAGCUCACAGCAACGCCGGAUCCUUAACCCACUGAGUGGGGCCAGGGAUCAAACCCACAUCCUCAUGGAUGCUAGUCAGGUUCAUUAAUCGAUGACCCACGAAGGGGACUCCCAUUUGUGUGACUGUCCGAGGGAGCCAGGAUCCAGGACAGUAUUGAUUUGUAAAACUAUUGAUUUGUGCCUCCUUCAAGUGCAGCUGGAAAGGGAAAUCUGGUCGAAGGCAGAGUGUUGUGAUAAUGUGAGAGUUUUACAAAGUGGUUUCAGAAAAGUUGGACAGAUUCAACAGUGUUUUACCAGGAAAAUCAAUAGGAAAACCUGAAGAGUCAGUGGUUAUUUGAUUUGCCAUGAGCAUUAGAGUGGGAGGUCUGAGAAAAACCAUCCUGAAAAUGCUUUCUGAAGAAGAAUGGGUGCCUGGAUCCAGGGGUCCGCUCAUGACUCGGAGCAACUGGCCUUAGGCUGCAGGGAUGCUUAUGGGGAAAACUCAGACCCCGUCUCCUUCUUCAGAGUCCUGGCAGUGUCUCUGACCAGAUUAAGCACCAGGUCUUUGACAUCAAUAAGUACCACCAUCCUGUUAACAUCUGUUGGCUUUGGAUAACUACUCAGUGGAAGUGGGUGUUUGUUCUGUUUCCACAUGUUUUAAGACAGAGGUCAGGGCAGGGGUAAUCAUAGAUGAGGACACCCCCUGAGGCCCCAAGAGAUGGGCCUUGCUGUUGAUGGACUUGCAGAAGUUAGCCCAGAGUUAGGGUCGGCCCUGAGAACCAGAGUUUGGCACUUAGCAUCCUCUACAUGGAUUAAAUCCCGAGCCACUGCAGCUGCCGACCUGCAGCAUCCCCAGAGCAGAGCUCAGGGUGGAGAUUAGGAGUGAGGCACUCCAUGCUCUGGGAAAACUGGAUGAACAGGUCUUCAGAUAGAUAUUUUUAGGAGAAAAUUUUAUGUGCCCAAUUCCUGCAUCUCCUCAUAUCUAGAAAAACGCUAAAAUCCUUCAUGGUGAUGUCUGCUCCCCAUGACUAGUAGAGAUAUUCAGGAGUCCAGCAGCAAACGUUUGUAAAAUUUUUGUGCUUGGCUGCAGGCAGCCCUCCCUUCCCCUUUAACACAUACACAGAUAUUAUUUUCCCCUGCCUCUUUCGGGCGGCAUUUCAGCCAUCUGAUAUUCAGCCAUCUGAUACACUGCCACCAGGCUAUAGUUAAGUUGGCAAAACAAAGGAUGUCACACAGUCAACUGCAAAUACAGACCCCUCCAAAGAUGAGCCCAUGAGUCCUGAGGGAACUCAGAAAGGAAACAAAGAAUACCUGCUAUCUAGCAGCCAUCAGACCGUAGCCAGUCUUAACAGGGAGCCCUGAGGAAGCUCAGGUUGUGAAAACUCAGGAUACUGGCCCUGAUAGCCGAGGUACAUGUCAAAGGAAUGAUUUCAGUGAGCCCAGACCUCUUUGAUUCCUACUACCUUCCCUUUGUUGCAAAUCUCCUGUGUAUCCUAGCUUGCUGCUCAGAGAAGCUCUCUCCCGGAUUUAAGUCCUAAUUUGCCCCCAGUAAAACUUAACUCUCAACUUUCAGGUUGUGUAUUUUUUUUAAGUCGGCAGCCCUCAGUCUGUCAACUAGAGCUUCUAGCUCCUGGGAGGAGAUCCCUGCCCCAGUCCUAAGGAGAUCCUGGAUCUUAGGCUGGAAGGAAUAAGAAAGAGAGAAGGAGGAUUAAUCCUGGGCUACAAUUUUUUUUUUUAUUUGAACUUUCAAAGGACUAGAUCUUUGUCCUUGGGUGUCUCACCAGGGCCUUUGUAACAGGAAUUUAUAUUCAAAGUUGCAACAUUAAGAGGCUCCUGGCUAUUUCUUCUGGACACCGAUAUGCAUCUGAUCAUUCAAGGGAGAGAUGUCAUAUUUCUUAAAUUUAGUCAGCUCUGGAACUUUCAUAACUUGGUGAAUGCCAUGUUAGGGAAUAUUUGAUGGGAAUUAAAGAUAAGGUUCCUUGGAAGGAAACUGGUUCAGGUGAAGAUGGAGAAGUAAUUCAGAGCAAACUGUGAAGGACCUUGUAAGAGAUGACCCCACAGAGGAUUAAAAAUACAGGAACCAGAGAGGUACCGGAUAGUUACAUGAAUGGACCUCCAACUCUUUUUCAAGCUUUGGAUUUCCCUUGCAAGUGGCUGAGAGCUGAGCUUUCUACAUCACUCACAUUUACGCAGUCGGAGCCCUUUACCUCCCUUAAAGCAUAAAAACUCUGUGGUUUAAACUCCCAGAGGUAAGCUGUUAUAGCUAGGAACACAGAAGUUAUCCCUAAAAGUACUUAAGCUAAUGUCAGCUUGGAACUAUUCCACCAGCCACUAACAAGUUCUUGGGUGUUUGCUGAAAACCACAUACAUGUGAGAAAGACUGAAAUACAUUCCAGCUUUAAGUGUGAACAUAUGAGGCACUGUUAGGAAACACAGGUCACAUUCCUCAGUGUCAGAGGAUCACAUGUACGGAUGAAAUGAGACACAAAGGGACCUCUCUGUAUUCUUCUCUCAAAAUUGCCACAGAUAUCUUGAGAAAGGCAGCAUUUCCCCCCCACCCCACCCCCAGUUCUCUUUCUAAUUAAUAGGGAGACAUGAACCGAAUAGGUCUGGGAUCUUUGUUUUCAUUUCCCAGCUUUGUGAACUCUCUGAGCUUCAUGUCUUUUUAUCUGUAAAAUACAUUUAUCACAAAAUAUUCUAUCAUUAUCUUAAUGAUUAUCUGAUUGCCACAGGACCAGAGACCACAGAGGUACAAAGCCAG